rnacentral:rRNA from 1 species
GGGCGAAAGCCUGAUCCAGCCAUGCCCCGUGUGUGAAGAAGGGCUUCGGAUUGUAAAACACUUUAAUUUGGGAGGAAGGGAUUAACCUAAUACCUUAGUGUUUUGACGUUACCGACAGAAUAAGAAACGGCUAACUCUGUG